UCCCUGGUGGUCCAGUGGUUAGGACUCCAUGCUUUCACUGGCGGGGCCUGGGUUCAAUCCCCGGUCAGGGAA